CUAAGCGGAGGAAAAGAAACUAACAAGGAUUCCCUCAGUAACUGCGAGUGAAGCGGGAAAAGCUCAAGUUUCGAAGCUCGGCGGGCGACCGUCGCGCGUUGUAAGCUGAAGGGGCGCCAUCCAAGUUGCACGGCCCGGGUAUAGAUCCGUUGGAAAGCGGUAUCGCAGAGGGUGAGAAUCCCGUCCGUGACCCGGGAGAAAGGGCAUCAGCUCCGUGCAUCGUUGCGUUGCGCUUCCGAAGAGUCGGGUUGUUUGGGAAUGCAGCCCAAAAAGGGUGGUAAACUUCAUCUAAGGCUAAAUACAGGCACGAGACCGAUAGCGAACAAGUACCGUGAGGAAAGAUGAAAAGCACUUUGAAAAGAGAGUCAAAAAGUACGUGAAACCGUUAGAGGGAAACGAAUGAAGCUAGCAUUUGUGCGCGAUCGCAAUCAGCCGGACGUCCACGCGGGCGCGGGGUCGGAGUCUGGAGAAAUCCGGAUUACUUUGGAGAGCUUCGUCGAGUGCGCCGUAAGAAAGCGCGAUGACGACGAGCCUCACGGCGUCGCGAAUCGUCGAUACCCGCGGGGAACGAGAAAGCCGGUGCACUUGCGGUAGGCGUCAGGUCAACAUCAGUUCGGUAAAUAAUUAUUUCUUGCCAGACGAAGGAGACAGCAACUGUCGGGGAAAGGUGACCGUGGAGGCGAGCGGCUUCGAUUCGUCGAGGCAGCCACGCGUUCACGGGGCUUACAGACCCCGAUCGAAAGUUUAAUUCUAGCGUCGCGGCCUGGACUGAGGAAACGUGGCAGCGCGGUUUUUCCUUCUCGCCCGAUAAGGAACGGGAAGGGAACGAUUUUGCAGAUCUCCGCUGGGGUUGCGGGCCGACGGUCACUGAGCCGAAAAGGAGCAGUGGCGGAAGGCAUCCUACAAGCGCCUCACGAACGUCAUAACCGGCUACGGGGGUGUAGUGGCAUAAUGCGCGCUUGCGAUGUUGGCGAAAUGGCUUUAUCCGACCCGUCUUGAAACACGGACC
rnacentral:rRNA from 1 species